GACGAACGCUGGCGGCGUGCCUAAUACAUGCAAGUUGAGCGCUGAAGGUUGGUACUUGUACCAACUGGAUGAGCAGCGAACGGGUGAGUAACGCGUGGGGAAUCUGCCUUUGAGCGGGGGACAACAUUUGGAAACGAAUGCUAAUACCGCAUAAAAACUUUAAACACAAGUUUUAAGUUUGAAAGAUGCAAUUGCAUCACUCAAAGAUGAUCCCGCGUUGUAUUAGCUAGUUGGUGAGGUAAAGGCUCACCAAGGCGAUGAUACAUAGCCGACCUGAGGGGGUGAUCGGCCACAUUUGGACUGGGACACGGCCCAAACUCCUACGAGAGGCAGCAGUAGGGAAUCUUCGGCGAUGGACGAAAGUCUGACCGAGCAACGCCGCGUGAGUGGAUAAAGUUUUCGUAUCGUAAAACUCUGUUGGUAGAGAAGAACGUUUGUGAGAGUGGAAAGCUCAUCAAGUGACGGUAACUACCCAGAAAGGGACGGCUAACUACGUG
rnacentral:rRNA from 1 species